GACGGGGCCCGCACAAGCGGUGGAGCAUGUGGUUUAAUUCGAUGCAACGCGAAGAACCUUACCUGGUCUUGACAUCCCGGAGACCCUUAGGAAACUAGGGGUGCUUCCAUCUGGAAGAAUCUGGAGACAGGUGCUGCAUGGCUGUCGUCAGCUCGUGUCGUGAGAUGUUGGGUUAAGUCCCGCAACGAGCGCAACCCUUGCCUUUAGUUGCCAGCAGUUCGGCUGGGCACUCUAAAGGGACUGCCGGUGUUAAACCGGAGGAAGGUGGGGAUGACGUCAAGUCCUCAUGGCCUUUAUGACCAGGGCUACACACGUACUACAAUGGCCGAUACAAAGGGCAGCGACACUGCGAGGUGAAGCCAAUCCCGUAAAAUCGGUCUCAGUCCGGAUUGGAGUCUGCAACUCGACUCCAUGAAGUUGGAAUCGCUAGUAAUCGUGGAUCAGCAUGCCACGGUGAAUACGUUCCCGGGCCUU
rnacentral:rRNA from 1 species